rnacentral:lncRNA from 1 species
UUGUCAAAGCGAUAAAGAGGUUCGGUCUUUCUGAAAACUAGUCGUCACUUCAGCCUUCCAAAGAGGUAAAAAUAAGAGCCCUAAACUUAAAAUUUGUAGCUAACAGUUUUGGUAGUACAGAACAAACAUGUUUAUACCUCCCAAAGGUUUUUGUCUCUAGGGAACAUAUCUGAAAGGGAUAAUGUUAGAAGCUUGCUUGUUUCCUA